UUUGGGUUUAAUGAGUCUGGUUCA
rnacentral:snRNA from 1 species